AGACCCGAAACCCGGUGAUCUAGCCAUGGGCAGGUUGAAGGUUGGGUAACACUAACUGGAGGACCGAACCGACUAAUGUUGAAAAAUUAGCGGAUGACCUGUGGCUGGGGGUGAAAGGCCAAUCAAACCGGGAGAUAGCUGGUUCUCCCCGAAAGCUAUUUAGGUAGCGCCUCGUGAAUUCAUCUCCGGGGGUAGAGCACUGUUUCGGCUAGGGGGCCAUCCCGGCUUACCAACCCGAUGCAAACUGCGAAUACCGGAGAAUGUUAUCACGGGAGACACACGGCGGGUGCUAACGUCCGUCGUGAAGAGGGAAACAACCCAGACCGCCAGCUAAGGUCCCAAAGUCAUGGUUAAGUGGGAAACGAUGUGGGAAGGCCCAGACAGCCAGGAUGUUGGCUUAGAAGCAGCCAUCAUUUAAAGAAAGCGUAAUAGCUCACUGGUCGAGUCGGCCUGCGCGGAAGAUGUAACGGGGCUAAACCAUGCACCGAAGCUGCGGCAGCGACACUCAGGUGUUGUUGGGUAGGGGAGCGUUCUGUAAGCCUGCGAAGGUGGCCUGUGAGGGUUGCUGGAGGUAUCAGAAGUGCGAAUGCUGACAUAAGUAACGAUAAAGCGGGUGAAAAGCCCGCUCGCCGGAAGACCAAGGGUUCCUGUCCAA
rnacentral:rRNA from 1 species